rnacentral:rRNA from 1 species
ACACGACUACAUUAGAUACCCGCGUAGUCCUAGCCGUAAACGAUACUCGCUAGGCGUCGGCCACGGUGCGACCGUUGUCGGUGCCGUAGGGAAGCCGUGAAGCGAGCCACCUGGGAAGUACGGCCGCAAGGCUGAAACUUAAAGGAAUUGGCGGGGGAGCACAACAACGGGUGGAGCUUGCGGUUUAAUUGGAUUCAACGCCGGAAAUCUUACCGGGACCGACAGCAACAUGAAGGCCAAGCUGAAGACUUUGCCGGAUUAGCUG